AACGGUUUCUUUUAAAGCCUCACAUUCUGUUGCCACCAUUUGGUGCUAUGACAAUGUAUCGCUAUUGGUAUGUGUAUGUGACAGCGCACCAUCAUUUAACAUACAGUGCAUGUAAAGUCUGAGUCUUACUGCUUUAUAUCAGGUGGAAUUAUGCCAUGUUAGAGUGAAAUGUUAGUUGAUUGCCUUGCCAUGGCAACACUAUUUAAGAAGAUAAAUUUAUUCACAUUUUAGCAUCACGGAGAUCAUCAUUAUUCUGAUCAAGUUUGGUUUGAAUCUAAUGAAUUUUGUAGGAGGAGUAUUUAAAAGUUUGAUAACUGUCAAAAUGUACAAAAGCCAAAAUGGCUGAUUUCCUGCUGGGCAGACUUGGAUGGAUGUUAAGGGGUGCUGUCAAGCCCCAGAGCCAUGCCCAUGUCCAUUUUUAUUUUAUUUUAUUUAUUUUUUAUUUUUUUUGCAUUUGCCAGCUUUCGUUUGAUUUUGAGCAUGCCAAGCACCUCAAAAAUGCAACAAAAGUUCAGGAGGAAAAAUAAUUCUAACAGAUAGUUGGGCCUUUCACCCUUUUGGUGCUUGGGCCCUAAUAAAAGCUGCUUGCUUGUUUUCCUUUUCCAUUUUCAUUUCUAAAUUUCAUUUCUUUGUUUUAGAAUUUUUAUUUCCAAAUGAAAAAUGUCUUAAAGCAAAGUACAUUGACCGUAUGGCUAUCACAUUUUGUUCCCCAAGUUUUCUUUCAGUUGGUGUACCACACCACUGAUAAAACAGUAUGUAUUGGUGCUCAAACAAGGCCUUUCAACUCUGCAGUUCAGACCUAAAAUGUUGGCCAAAGUUUCUGUGUGCGUGUGAACAGGGAAGCACUGGUUGCCAGAAGCUUUUGGAGAGGUUUAGGAAAAGUCUAUCCAAAACCCAGAAAUCCUGAGAAUCAUUCGACAUUUGUGGCAAAGCAUGCGAGCAGCAAGCCAUCCAAGUACAGAGGUGAAUGAAGCAAUGGAAUCUGGCACACUGUAUCUGUGUUUUACUGCAGGAGCAUCGCUAUGGCCAAUCAUUCAGGAACCAAAUGUUUUUAGACUAUUCAAAGCUACUCUGGAUUUGAGAGAAGGUUUAGUUGGAGAUGUGUUUGUUUGGGAUUAUAAAAAAAAAAAAAAAAAAAAAAAACAACCCACAGUUUUGAAAGUGUAGUUUGUGGCUAGUGGCUAGUCUUAAAAAAAGGCAUCCUUUCUAUGUUUGCGGAUGAUUAGCCAAUUUCUGAUACAAUAUAUAAACAAUGACUAUACAGACAAUUGUUUUGAUUUUUAAGUAUAUAUAUAUUAUUGAUAAUGUGUACGUUAUUAGAAAGCUACCACAGCUACUGAAAUAUUUUUCACCGAUUCACUUUCUGAUCCAAACACUGAUAAGAUCGCUCUCUCUACACGCACUCACAUAAUUUCCCAGCUACUAGGGUGUUCCGUACAUAUUCACCAGGUUUUAAGAAGUUGUUGUAACCGUCUCAAAAUCGCUGCAAUGUUCUAAAACAGUUCUGCAAUGCAUUACUCAUGCAUGUGUGUUGAUAAAUGCAAAUCAUUCCUAAAUUAUUGAGCAUGUUCACAGCACAGCUGAGAAACAUUUAUUGACACUGACAAAGCUAAAUAAAAGGCAAAGCAAAUAAAGCUGAAAAUGACAAAAUGACAACUAAAUGGUGAAAGCAAUGAACCGGUGAAAGAGAGUGCCUCUUAUGUGUGUAGUGCAUUAAAUCUUCCAGCUCUUGCAGCAGGUCAGCUACUGUAGUCACACAUCUCUUCUUCCUCCAUAUGGCAUCAUUUCCUAAUUGAGUGACUAGUUUUCUUUUGUCUUAAUUUACAGUAUGGAUUUGUUUUGGAUUCUUUUAAGUCAUUAGUAUGAAAUGACUGAGUUUCACAAAACUUUCACCAAAUUUGUGUAUUCAGUUGAAAUAAAUUGAAACUUGACGGUGUAAUCCAUAGAUAAAAUUUGCAGUAACUCAUGCAUAUUAUAAGGUCUGAAGCCCAUCAGUCAACAUUUACAUGACUAAGAGUCCUUAUAUUGAAAUGUGCACAUUUUUUUAAUUUUAUUUUACAAAAACUAAAUUUUCCAGACAAACUGGAUUUUCAUGAAAGCCACAUUUCUCCUGUGAACAGUUUACAAAUACAUUUGUUUGUAUCCAGCUUGAUCAGUGAGGCCCAAUGUUCAAGUUUGGACAAAAGUAACAUUAUACAACAUUUAAUUCCAGUCCACUAAUUUGAUUGGUCGAGCAGGAUUCCAAGAGUGUGUAUAUUUCAGAUAACCAUACUGGGACGUUUCACAGUGUGUAUCACUCCCCUCCUCUGUGUUCACCCCAUAAAAUUUCCCUUCCUAGUUCAAAACAGUUACUACAGUAGUGUUAGUGACAUCAUCAGCAGACAUGGCAUGCAAUACUUUUUCAGGAAUAUAACUUUUAUCUUAAGAUAUGACAGCUCACCUGGAAAGAUGGAAAAGAACAAGAAGGGAUGACAGUUUUACCAGAAUCACCUUUAACAUGAAUGCACAAAUCAAUGUGCGCCAGUUAGACGACGUGUUAUAAAGUGAAUGCGGCUUCUUCGGGAUCUACUUCCGCAAGCAGAGCAAAAAUCAACAGAACAUUUGGCCAUAUUGCGUCCAAAAUGUCACUUACUCGAUAUUCAUUGCUUGUUAUAUGGGGUACUCCCAAUCGUGUCACAAUAGUGAUAGUGUAAAUAGCAUGCUUUUGUGUCAUGAUAGAAAUUAUUCAUAAUAGUUAAAUUAUUCUUGUAGAAAGUAAUUAGAAAAUUAGGCGUAUUAUUUUGAACAAUGAAAAAGAAAAAAAUUGGAAGGUCCUCACAGCCUCGCAAAGGUUUCAGUCUGCUGUAGAUGUUUAUGUGCUGUAGUGUUUCAGUCCGUUUCUGUGGUUGUUUGAAGUCAUGUAGUAAAGCUUGAUGUUUACAUGGACAGCAGUAAUCUAAUUACUGACUGUAUUCUGAAUAAGACAAUAAUGUGAUUAAGGUGUUUUCAUGAGCUGCUUUUAGAAUACUCUUUUCAUGUUCCCGUGUUACAUGUUAUAGAACAUAGAUCAAUUAACAGCACACGUCAUUACAUCCCCACGCCACGCUGUCCGACGUUCCCUCUAGAAUUUCAUGUAUCGACAUACAGUUCUUCAUUAUGGUACCAUAUACAGAUUUGGGUGUUUUUAUUUUUAAUUUCACGAACGCUUCAAGUGCAGUUAAUUAUUUGUCAUGCUAAACGUGCUAAUAGAAGACUGCUUGAAACCGUGGACUGCGUCUGAAACCGUGCACUUACCUACUAUAUAGUAUCGGAAGUACGUGUAUUUAACCUACUAUAUAGUAGGUAAGUUGUGGACGCAGACGUGCUCUCCUGUUUGCCGUCAAACGGUUGAGCACUGCCGUGUGUGUAUGUGUCCUGUCGCAAAAUGCAGUGAAAACUCCCACACGGUGUUAAUAGUGUGAUUAAGGUGUGUACAUGUCUGUAAUGCACUUCUAUAAUGUGACUAAAACAGGAAUACUCCGCAUGUCUUAAUUCCAUUUGUUAUUUUGAGUAUGACUUCAGUCGCAUUACUGUAAUCAAUAAUCGCUGUUUACAUGUUAGUUUCUUAAUCAGAGUAUUGUCUUAAUCGGGUUAAUAUCGGAAUAUUGUCCAUUUAAACAUACUGAGUGUCUGACAAUAUCAAGUGAAGCAAAGGAAUCACAGCGACAAAGCCAAAGUCAAUCAGAUGUAUGUAUUAAUUGGCAUAUGUUUUGCUCCUCAACCACCCACAUGUUAUUUGCUAAUGUCAGUUGUUAAUAAAGAAGUCUUGAUCUGGGUUCAGUUAAGUCCUCAGUGGUGAUCUAAAUGCACAAGAAUGAUCAUUUUUCUCGGGGAAUAUAUCCAUGGAUCCUCCUACAAAUCUCCAUGUUUUGGCAUAAACCCCCGACUUUUUAAAUCCUAGAAAUGCCCCUGUAUCAUAUUACACCCCCACUCACACGCUGCCUGUGUCUUGAGGCAACGUAUUCACUUUUAUUGAGGUUCAGAACGCCUGUAUAGUUUUAUUGGGAUCCAAUUAUUUGAUAUAUUCCAUCCUUGUGGUGGUGUUGCAGGUAAUUUAUUUGUCUUUUGCUUGUUUAGAGAUUUUUUUUUUUUUGGGUCGCUGUGUGGUUGGGAGCAAGAACAGAAGAGAAGAGAAAUGAAGGCCCUUGUAAAAUUCCAGCAGGAAACUCUUUCAAAAGAAACUAAGAUCUUUGCUUCCAUCCUGCACUGAAUUGACAGGCUUUGUUUAAAACAGGGCAUCAGGGCCAGUUGUGAUUGCUGGAGUGGUGGAGUGAUUGCUGAAGUGGCUUCCCAGAGCUCUACUGAGCUUCAAAUGGAUCACAUCAUGCUUAUAGUAUUAUUAUCAUAUAAAAACAUCCUUUAUUUUUAUUUUUUCAUGAAAAAGUACUUUUGUCUAGGAAGCGUACUUCAUUGGGUGUGUGUUUAAUGCUUUAACCCCCUGCUGAAUCUGUCUAGGUGCUGUUUAGUCUAUUACAAUGUGAGAUAUAAUGUUGAUGUUUAUUGAUGUAAUGUUGAGAUUUAAUGCUUAAAUGUUGCUUCUUUAAGUAGACAUGUAGGUGGAGGUUCAGAAGUCUACAGUAUAAGACUGUUUAAGAUUAUUUGCUUUUUUUCUGUUGAUGCGUAUACAGAUGCGUAUACAGUUUUGCCAGAUCACUGCAGAGUUUCUUGGUCAGAGCGAAGUUUACAGGUAACAAUUAGACUGUAUACAACAUUUCAUUCCUGUAUAUGAGGAGCAAUAAGUUCAUCCUGUUUCACGGUUCAAGCCCUCUAGACAUUUAAAAAUCCAGGAGCAAAGAACUAAACUCAAAACACCUUGAAGUCAUUAGGUCAAUUAUAUGUAAAUAAUAAAAGGUGGUGGUGUCUGUUUUUUGUUUUUCUGUGCUUUUUCAAUCAACAAUACUUUUGCAUUUGCUCAGACAUGUUAAUAAAUCUGUCUUUUUCUUCUUGGUUGCAUAACAUGACUUCUGCAAUUCCUUUUUUCCAUUCUUUUUUUUUUUGUUUCAUUUUAUAACACUGACUACUUUGCUCUCUUUGUCCUUUUUUACUUUAAAUCAAAACCACCUUUUAACAAAGACCACCAGUAACGGAAAAAUUAUCAAUAUAAGUAUAAAAAGUGUCUAUACACCAAUCAGCUAUAACAUUAAAACUAUGUUCCUAAUAUUGUGUAGGUCCCUGUAGGUACUCUGACCAGUCUGCAGCUAUGCAUUAACUUUUUUCACUUAUUUUUGCUACAGUAGCUCUUCUGUGGGACCAGACCAGACAGGCCAGCCUUCCCCAUGCGCAUCUGAGCCUUGGGUGCUUGUGACCCAGUCAUUGUCCUACCUCGGACCACUUUGGUCAUAUGGGCUACAAGUGAAUCUCAACCCUUAUGAGAUUUGUUGCAAUAUAAAAAGAGGCUCUUUCCCUGAACCUGCUGGAAACACAGCAAUAAAUGCAGUGUGAAUUUCAGGAUAUUUCCAUCACUUCAUUGCAUAUAUAUAUAUUUCCACAGGAGACAAACUUAUAUGAGUUAGCAGAUGACCUCAUAUAUUGCUUAACCAGGGGAAAUUCUUGUAAUAAGGUAACAUGUUGUCACACAGCGCACAUAUUUGAUUAUUUUUUAUACUGACCAAAAUUAACUUAUAAUUUAUUACGAAUAGAAAUUACAUAGUGUUAAUUGUGACUAUGAGUGUUAAAUCUUCCUCUCAUAGAUGUUCAACCUUAAGCCGAGUAGUAAUGUAAUUCGGUAUAUCCCAAAUAAAGUAUGUGGGUUUCAGGUAGAUUAGAUUGCUCUAUUACUUCAAUUAAUUCAAAUACAUUCAAAUAUUUCAUAUUAGCAGUCAAAUAUGGCACAUAGGAGCCAGAAAUUGCAAUGACAAGAGUAUUUAAAGAUUCAAUUCUAACAUGUGGUGCAGGAACAUCACAGCAAUUCACAGCCUGAAUACAAACUAAACUGAUUAGGCUUAUGUCUGUUCAGCCACAGCACGUAUCCAAAAACUGUUAAGCAUGACAUUCACUGUAUGAGAAAACCACACUUAGCUAGCCAGGUUUUAGACAUCUUCAGGCAGGCUAUACCACUAUGUUUGUUAAACUAGAUCUGUUUACACAACAUGAUCUUUGCAGCCUAGGCAAGGUUAAAAUCUAAAUAAAAAAUUUCCACAUGUAUGUUAUAGGCAAAAAGAAGUUUGGUCAAAAUCAGCCAUUUCCCAGAACUCAGCCAGAGAGUCAGUACUGUGAAAUGUAUGUGUUAAUACAUGGAAUGUUCAACACUGAUAUCAUGGAAAUGUAACAGAAAUACGGUUUCGUUAUAUCUGUUUUGGUCCUAACUGCUCUAUUGAAGUAAAUAAAAAGUGAGCAAAGUACCUUUCAAAUUUACUAAAAAUCUAUUCACAUGAAAUGGUAAAUGGUCUGCACUUAUAGAGCGCUUUUAUCCAAAGCACUUUACACUGUGUCUCAUUCAUCCAUUCACACACACACACACACAUACCAAUGGUAGCAGAGCUGCCAUGCAAGGCGUUAACUUGCCAUCGGGAGCAACUUAGGUUUUGGUGUCUUGCCCGAGGACACUUCGGCAUGUGGAGUCAUGUGAGCCGGGAAUCGAACCGCCAACCCUAAGAUUAGUGGACAAUCCGCUCUACCACCUGAGCCACAGCCACCAAAUAUGCCCACUUUAUGAGGACAUGUUUGAUUUAGCUAUAGCACAAUGGUGACAAUUUCAUCAGUGUGGUAGUCUAGCUCAUUGGUUCUAAAUGUAGUGUCUGGGGACCUCAACAGUCCAUGAAGCAUUGCCGGUGGUCUGUGAUUUAAAAAAAAAAAUCUAAAUCCACCAGUAUCAAUGUUGUUCUGAAUAUUAUUCCUUUAUUCCAGUUUUAGCUUAAUUGACUGGUCACUUUAAUUAAAUGAGUGUAAUCCAAACCUUAAUAAAUGAAAAAUAAGUAAGCUGAUUAAAAAUGUCAACUUGGACCUAAUGUGUUCUGUCAAUAGAAAGUUCAGGGGAAAAAAACUCAAUAGCUCCAGUAAAUAAUCAGAAUAUUAUUGUACAUUCUUGAAAUAUUUGGAUAUAAAUCUGAGGGGAUCUGUGCUGAGGGGAUCUGUGGAUUUUUGUUUGUUUGUUUGUUUGUUUGUUUACAGCUAAAUUGGUCUCCAGCUCAAAAAAGUUUCAGAACCCCUGGUUUAGCUGACUACUGUACCUAGCUGACAGUCUGUGCAACAUAAUAUUUUCAGAUACCAUUAUAACAGACAAUAUACUAAAUGUAAAUGUAAUACAGUAAUCUAUAGGCGACUUAAAAGUUGAGGCUUAUUAAACUAUAACUACUCAUUAGUUCAUGUAGCAUGUUGCAUGUAGUAUGUUGAAAUACUAUGAAAUAGCAAGAGGGGUUGAAAGUAAGUAAGUAAUAUACAUAUAAGGGAUUGCAUAAGUAAGACUGGGGUUGAGAUGACUCAUAGUUACAAAAAGGAACAUGUCAAAAUCUUGGAAUGUUAGAAGGGAAGGGUUUGACUGCAUUAAAAGUUGGGUUUUCACUCCAAUAAUUCCCUGAUAUUAGACUAUAAUCUGUUUACUCUUUGCUGAUUUUGAAUACUUUGAUUUUGAAUUUACUCAGGAAUUUUUCGAACAUGCUGCAAACAGGAAAAGAGCAUGAGACGUGUCGUUUCUUAUUGCUUCGGGAGACUCAGAACACAAUCUGACAAGCAUGUCAGGCCAAUCACCUCAGUGCCGGUAUCUCCGACUUUCCUGCUACCGCAUCCCUAUACUCCACUUCAUCCCAGAGGGGAAAAACAGAGAGAUGACAAACACAUUCUCCUCUCCUGAGUACUAUUGCCCCAACUUAACUCAAUCUGGCCCUAUGAUUUCCCACUGCCUCCAGAUCAAAUCUCAUUUCCUCGAUUAAUUAUGUAAACUAACUGAAAGAUUAUUCUUCUUUUCUUCUGUUGCACUAAACAAUGAAUCAUAUAGAUGAACUAGGUCACCUGGCAGAUAUUUCAAGAGCCUGGUACACACUCUACAAAUGAGCAAUGCAGAGAUUCACUUUCUGGAUGAGACAUCACAGAACUGCAUCAAGCAAACAGACAUCGAGUGGAGACAUUCAGUUUGUUGAUGAAGUGGCCAAACUAUUAAUCCUGUUUCAAACUUUAAUGCUGUCCCACAGGGAUGAGAGGCCAUGUCAGAGAGAGAGAGAGAGUGUGUGUGUGUGUGUGUGUGUGUGUGUGUGUGUGUGUGUGUGUGUGUGUGUGUGUGUGUGUUUGUGAGAAUGUGAGAAACGAGGUUCGCCUUGUCUUUGAUGAGAUGUGUUAGGACUAAACCAUCUGUUAUAAGCGGAUCCAUGUUUCAUCAGCCUCCAAUUCCUUUCAUGAUGACAAGUGAUAAUAACUCUCCUACUUGCUUUCCUUGGAAAGGAGACUCUGUGGAGUGUUCUCCACCUCUCCCAAGUGACUCUGGUACAGCGUGUUAAAUAAUAUUUGCUGGAGAAGGAGGACAUGACCUUUCCGAAAACACAACAUCCUGUUACCAUGUACUCUACUUAGGUGUUACACGAAAAACAAACUUUGCUCGUUUAUAUAAGCGCAAACCAUAUUACGCUUUUAUCCCCAGCAUGGGGAGUUUGAAAAAUGUGGGUGUUUUCAGGCAAACCAUCAAACCUUAUUACUACAUCUAUAAACUGUGUACAUGGUUAUUGAUAAUAGAUUGAGAUGAAGCUCCUUCCAAUAAGGGGUUCAAUUCAAGAGGGGAAAAAGUUGGUGCAUGAACGAAUAUUUAUGGCUAAUGUAUUGUGAAGAUCCCACAACAUUAAAUGUAGCUACAAUGGAUAAAAUGUACAAUGUGCCAUUCUUUAAUAACAAAACAAUGUGAAAAGAAUUGUUAGCAGUUGUGAUAUGAGAGCAAUAAAACACUUCAGGAUGUGCUGUUAUUGGAAAAUAAUUCAGUGUGGUCAUGUCUCUCUGUUUUUCAUUGGGCCACAUCACACCACCCUGUCAUUGAUUAUCCAGAGUAACUUACAAAAAGUGCAGACAGCAGUGCAAAGAUAAAUAAAGUACUGCACAGCAUGGAAAACACACAAAUGUGCAGGAUACAGGGUUCUCGAGGACCAGGAUUGAGAACCUACAGUAUGGACUAAAGACUGGUCCAAGUAAUGCUGGUCCAAGCUGAUGUGUGUUAGAGUGAUCCAUUGGGUAACCACAAAGCACAGACCCAAAAAGUAAGUGUGUGAACAAUAAAAUCACAGUGUAGAGAAUUACAAAGACCUGUUAUCAUGCUGCAAAUAUUUUCUGCAAAAGUCUUCAGUCCUUUAGGAAGGAAUGGAGACAACAGGACCAUUCCAACUGUAAGGGGAAGCUCAUUUGAUGACUGAGGAGCCAGCAGGAGUGAGUUAUGAAGUAACAAGCAUCUGUACUUUGUAUCUAGUAUCAGAAUCAGAAUGUUUUUAUUUUAUUUGCCAAGUACAGGGUGUACAAGGAAUACUUUUUGGUGCAAGGUCACACAAUACAGUACAAUACAAUACAAUACAAUACAGUGCAAUAUAGUAUAGUGCAAUACAAUAUAAUAUAGUACAAUACAGUGCAAUGCAAUACAAUACAAUACUGUAUAAUACAAUAUAAUACAGUAGAAUACAAUACAAUACAGUACAAUACAAUACUGUACAAUACAAUAUAAUACAGUGCAAUACAAUACAGUGCAAUACAAUACAAUGCUACGUACUACAAUACAGUACAAUAUAAUACAAUUACAAUACAGUUCAGUACAAACCAAUAUAUGGGGCACGGUGGCUUAGGGGUUAGCAUGUUUGCCUUGCAAACAGGGGUUUGAUUCCCGCCUCUACCCUGUGCCCGCAGAGUUUGCAAGUUCUCCCCGUUCUUCGAUGGUUUCCUCCAGGUACUCUGGUUUCCUCCCCCUGUCCAAAGACAUGCACUGUAGGCUCAUUGACAUCUCUAAAUUGUCCAUAACGUGUGAAUGGGUGUGUGAGUAUGUGUGUGAUUGUACCCUGCAAUGUGUUGACACCCCUUCCAAGGUGUCCUCUUCCUUGUACCCCAAGUUCCCUGGGAUGGGCUCCAGGCUCUUCACGACCCCGUGUAGGAUAGGCAGUUCAGAAAAUAGAUUGAUGGGUGGAUGGAUGGAUGGACAAUACAGUACUACAUACUAAAAUACUAUAUAAUACAAUACAAUAAAGGACAAUACAAUAGAUCUGUACAGAUAGAUUGUACACUUUGAUUCAUAUGCCCAUUGACCUUGAUCUGCUCAUAAUGCUGUAUUUUGGAUUGUGGAUAUUUGCAAUAAAUCUCCUGCACAUGUAUCUUAAUCUUGCCCCUGAGUCUUCCUUUAUAUAAGAAGGUUCAGACUUUACUUAGCUAUAUUACUGUAAUAUACGUGCACUGUCAUUCGAAAUGCACUUUUCUCUCCCUGUAUUUAAUUUAGACCUUCAAAUAGACUUCAUUUCAUACACUCUUUUGCCUGGCUAUUUAUAACA